UACGUAGGGGGCAAGCGUUGUCCGGAUUUAUUGGGCGUAAAGAGCGUGUAGGCGGCCAGGUAGGUCUGCUGUGAAAACUCGAGGCUCAACCUCGAGAUGUCGGCGGAAACCAUCUGGCUAGAGUCCGGAAGAGGAGAAUGGAAUUCCCGGUGUAGCGGUGAAAUGCGCAGAUAUCGGGAGGAACACCGAUUGCGAAGGCAGCUCGCUGGAACGUUACUGACGCUGAGACGCGAAAGCGUGGGGAGCAAACAGG
rnacentral:rRNA from 1 species